rnacentral:misc_RNA from 1 species
GAUGAAGAACGUAGCGAAAUGCGAUAAGUAAUGUGAAUUGCAGAUUUCAGUGAAUCAUCGAAUCUUUGAACGCACCUUGCGCCUUGUGGUAUUCCACAAGGCAUGCCCGUUUGAGUAUCAUUAAAUCAUCAACUCUAAACCCUUUGUGGUUUUUUUAGAGCUUGGUCUUGAGGGUUUUGCAGGCUUUUUUUUUUUCGAGUCUGCUCCCUUUAAAUGCAUUAGCGAGACUUCCCUAUGCUGAACCGUCUCUUUGACGUGAUAAUUAUCUGCGUCGAAUUUUGGUUCUCGUUGGGCUUGCUUCUAAUCGUCUGUUAAAGACAAAACGGAUUUGGGUGCAUAUAUGCGCCUUUUUCCAAAACCUUUUUUGAUCUCAAAUCGGGUAGGACUACCCGCUGAACUUAAGCAUAUCAAUAAGCGGAGGA